rnacentral:rRNA from 1 species
UUAAGCGACUAAGCGUACACGGUGGAUGCCCUGGCAGUCAGAGGCGAUGAAGGGCGUGCUAAUCUGCGAUAAGCGCCGGUAAGGUGAUAUGAACCGUUAUAACCGGCGAUACCCGAAUGGGGAAACCCAGUGUGAUUCGUCACACUAUCAUUAACUGAAUCCAUAGGUUAAUGAGGCGAACCGGGGGAACUGAAACAUCUAAGUACCCCGAGGAAAAGAAAUCAACCGAGAUUCCCCCAGUAGCGGCGAGCGAACGGGGAGGAGCCCAGAGCCUGAAUCAGCAUGUGUGUUAGUGGAAGCGUCUGGAAAGGCGCGCGAUACAGGGUGACAGCCCCGUACACAAAAGCGCAUGUGCUGUGAGCUCGAUGAGUAGGGCGGGACACGUGGUAUCCUGUCUGAAUAUGGGGGGACCAUCCUCCAAGGCUAAAUACUCCUGACUGACCGAUAGUGAACCAGUACCGUGAGGGAAAGGCGAAAAGAACCCCGGCGAGGGGAGUGAAAAAGAACCUGAAACCGUGUACGUACAAGCAGUGGGAGCACAGGUUUACCUGUGUGACUGCGUACCUUUUGUAUAAUGGGUCAGCGACUUAUAUUCUGUAGCAAGGUUAACCGUAUAGGGGAGCCGGAGGGAAACCGAGUCUUAAUUGGGCGUUAAGUUGCAGGGUAUAGACCCGAAACCCGGUGAUCUAGCCAUGGGCAGGUUGAAGGUUGGGUAACACUAACUGGAGGACCGAACCGACUAAUGUUGAAAAAUUAGCGGAUGACCUGUGGCUGGGGGUGAAAGGCCAAUCAAACCGGGAGAUAGCUGGUUCUCCCCGAAAGCUAUUUAGGUAGCGCCUCGUGAAUUCAUCUCCGGGGGUAGAGCACUGUUUCGGCUAGGGGGCCAUCCCGGCUUACCAACCCGAUGCAAACUGCGAAUACCGGAGAAUGUUAUCACGGGAGACACACGGCGGGUGCUAACGUCCGUCGUGAAGAGGGAAACAACCCAGACCGCCAGCUAAGGUCCCAAAGUCAUGGUUAAGUGGGAAACGAUGUGGGAAGGCCCAGACAGCCAGGAUGUUGGCUUAGAAGCAGCCAUCAUUUAAAGAAAGCGUAAUAGCUCACUGGUCGAGUCGGCCUGCGCGGAAGAUGUAACGGGGCUAAACCAUGCACCGAAGCUGCGGCAGCGAACGUAUCACCCAAGACAACUUUACGGAGUUGACGAUUGACGGAGCGAAGCGACGUCAAAGCGUUCAUUAAAGUCGAGUUGGCUUAGGGAUACGUUCGUUGGGUAGGGGAGCGUUCUGUAAGCCUGUGAAGGUGUGUCGUGAGGCAUGCUGGAGGUAUCAGAAGUGCGAAUGCUGACAUAAGUAACGAUAAAGCGGGUGAAAAGCCCGCUCGCCGGAAGACCAAGGGUUCCUGUCCAACGUUAAUCGGGGCAGGGUGAGUCGACCCCUAAGGCGAGGCCGAAAGGCGUAGUCGAUGGGAAACGGGUUAAUAUUCCCGUACUUGGUGUUACUGCGAAGGGGGGACGGAGAAGGCUAUGUUGGCCGGGCGACGGUUGUCCCGGUUUAAGCGUGUAGGUGUGUGUUCCAGGUAAAUCCGGUUCACUUUAACACUGAGGCGUGACGACGAGGCACUACGGUGCUGAAGCAACAAAUGCCCUGCUUCCAGGAAAAGCCUCUAAGCAUCAGGUAACAUCAAAUCGUACCCCAAACCGACACAGGUGGUCAGGUAGAGAAUACCAAGGCGCUUGAGAGAACUCGGGUGAAGGAACUAGGCAAAAUGGUGCCGUAACUUCGGGAGAAGGCACGCUGACACGUAGGUGAAGUGAUUUACUCAUGGAGCUGAAGUCAGUCGAAGAUACCAGCUGGCUGCAACUGUUUAUUAAAAACACAGCACUGUGCAAACACGAAAGUGGACGUAUACGGUGUGACGCCUGCCCGGUGCCGGAAGGUUAAUUGAUGGGGUCAGCGCAAGCGAAGCUCCUGAUCGAAGCCCCGGUAAACGGCGGCCGUAACUAUAACGGUCCUAAGGUAGCGAAAUUCCUUGUCGGGUAAGUUCCGACCUGCACGAAUGGCGUAAUGAUGGCCAGGCUGUCUCCACCCGAGACUCAGUGAAAUUGAACUCGCUGUGAAGAUGCAGUGUACCCGCGGCAAGACGGAAAGACCCCGUGAACCUUUACUAUAGCUUGACACUGAACAUUGAGCCUUGAUGUGUAGGAUAGGUGGGAGGCUUUGAAGUGUGGACGCCAGUCUGCAUGGAGCCGACCUUGAAAUACCACCCUUUAAUGUUUGAUGUUCUAACGUGGACCCGUAAUCCGGGUUGCGGACAGUGUCUGGUGGGUAGUUUGACUGGGGCGGUCUCCUCCUAAAGAGUAACGGAGGAGCACGAAGGUUGGCUAAUCCUGGUCGGACAUCAGGAGGUUAGUGCAAUGGCAUAAGCCAGCUUGACUGCGAGCGUGACGGCGCGAGCAGGUGCGAAAGCAGGUCAUAGUGAUCCGGUGGUUCUGAAUGGAAGGGCCAUCGCUCAACGGAUAAAAGGUACUCCGGGGAUAACAGGCUGAUACCGCCCAAGAGUUCAUAUCGACGGCGGUGUUUGGCACCUCGAUGUCGGCUCAUCACAUCCUGGGGCUGAAGUAGGUCCCAAGGGUAUGGCUGUUCGCCAUUUAAAGUGGUACGCGAGCUGGGUUUAGAACGUCGUGAGACAGUUCGGUCCCUAUCUGCCGUGGGCGCUGGAGAACUGAGGGGGGCUGCUCCUAGUACGAGAGGACCGGAGUGGACGCAUCACUGGUGUUCGGGUUGUCAUGCCAAUGGCACUGCCCGGUAGCUAAAUGCGGAAGAGAUAAGUGCUGAAAGCAUCUAAGCACGAAACUUGCCCCGAGAUGAGUUCUCCCUGAGACUUUAGGUCUCCUGAAGGAACGUUGAAGACGACGACGUUGAUAGGCCGGGUGUGUAAGCGCAGCGAUGCGUUGAGCUAACCGGUACUAAUGAACCGUGAGGCUUAACCUU